GAUGAAGAACGUAGCGAAGUGCGAUAAGUAAUGUGAAUUGCAGAAUUCCGUGAAUCAUCGAAUCUUUGAACGCAUAUUGCACUCUCUGGCAUUCCAGAGAGUAUGCCUGUUUGAGGGUCAGUUAAAUAAAAAUCGGGGUUGUUGCUGCCUUUCGUGGCGACGCUUCGGAUUUGGGUAAUCUUUACCUUCGGUUAAAGUGACCUAAAAUUUUAUGAGAUUUUUCGAACGUAUUUAAAUUAUUUACGUACGUUCGUAAUAUCGAAUAUUAGAUGCGGUCAUUCUCAUGAUUCGCGUCUAUAAUUUUUCAUUAAAAUGACCUCAAAUCAGGUAAGAAUACCCGCUGAACUUAAGCAUAUCAAUAAGCGGAGGA
rnacentral:misc_RNA from 1 species